rnacentral:rRNA from 1 species
CUAGCCGUAAACGAUGGGUACUAGGUGUGGGAGGUAUCGACCCCUUCCGUGCCGGAGUUAACGCAAUAAGUACCCCGCCUGGGGACUACGAUCGCAAGAUUGAAACUCAAAGGAAUUGACGGGGGCCCGCACAAGCGGUGGAGUAUGUGGUUUAAUUCGACGCAACGCGAAGAACCUUACCAGGGCUUGACAUUGAGUGAAAGACUAAGAGAUUAGUUCCUCAUCUUCGGAUGACACAAAAACAGGUGG